rnacentral:rRNA from 1 species
AUUGAACGCUGGCGGCAGGCCUAACACAUGCAAGUCGGGCGAGGGGCGGACGGGUGAGUUAUGUAGGGGGAUCUGUCUGAGGGGGGGGGAUAACUACUGGAAACGGUAGCUAAUACCGCAUACCUUCAGAUGCACCAAUAUGGGUUUAUCUGGUAGGUAAGGUAGCGGCUUACCUAGGCGACGAUCCCUCGCUGGUCUGAGAGGAUGAUCAGCCACACUGGGACUGAGACACGGCCCAGACUCCUACGGGAGGCAGCAGUGGGGAAUAUUGCACAAUGGGCGCAAGCCUGAUGCAGCCAUGCCGCGUGUAUGAAGAAGGCCUUCGGGUUGUAAAGUACUUUCAGUCGGGAGGCGUUACCGACAGAAGAAGCACCGGCUAACUCCGUGCCAGCAGCCGCGGUAAUAC